UAUAAUGUUUUGACUCUUUGUCUUACUUAAAUUUUUUUAUGAUUAAUAUUUUUAUUUUUACUAGAUGAUAAAAUAUAAAUAGUACUUUAUACUCGACUAAUUUUUUAAAAUUUUUAUACAAAAUCUUCAAAUAAAACGAAUGGUCAAACGUUGGACACGGAAA
rnacentral:pre_miRNA from 1 species